GACAAAGAUAGCAUCCACGCCGAGGUUGUUAGCUACAAGUACGAGAACAAACUAAAUCAAAUGAGGGACAAACUAAGAAAACAAGGUACCUGAAACUAUUUUCUCUGUACAAAAUU